UUUAGCGUUGUUUAGUUCUCUAUGGGGAGAUUAUCUUUUGGUACAGGAAGUAUUGUACACGUUCCUUGACCUAUUUGAUACCACAUAUCCUUGGAGGAUUCCACAACUAAGGGGGAGAAUAUAUUUAGGGGGAGAAUUUAUGAAAGGGGGAAGAAAAAGUAAGUUAGCUUUCUUCUAUUGUCUACAACUAAGGGGGAUUAAACUACUCUUUAGCUG
rnacentral:lncRNA from 1 species